rnacentral:rRNA from 1 species
AGAGUUUGAUCCUGGCUCAGAACGAACGCUGGCGGCGUGGAUAAGACAUGCAAGUCGAACGGGUUUCCUUCGGUAGCAAUACUGGAGGGAGCUAGUGGCGCAAGGGUGCGUAACACGUGGGCAACCUGCCCUGGGGUGUGGGAUAGCCCGCCGAAAGGSGGAUUAAUACCGCAUGUGGCUACCAAGUGCAUACUUGGGACGCUAAAGUCGCUGCAAGGUGACGCUCCGGGAUGGGCCCGCGGCCUAUCAGUUAGUUGGUGGGGUAACGGCCUACCAAGACGAUGACGGGUAGCUGGUCUGAGAGGACGACCAGCCACACUGGAACUGAGACACGGUCCAGACACCUACGGGUGGCAGCAGUCGAGAAUUUUUCUCAAUGGGGGCAACCCUGAAGGAGCGACGCCGCGUGGAGGAUGAAGGUUUUCGGAUUGUAAACUCCUGUCAUUGGUGAACAAAGCUUCCGGUUAACUGCCGAGAGGUUUGCUAGUAGCCGAAGAGGAAGGGACGGCUAACUCUGUGCCAGCAGCCGCGGUAAUACAGAGGUCCCGAGCGUUGUUCGGAUUCAUUGGGCGUAAAGGGUGCGUAGGCGGCGGGGCAAGUCUGAUGUGAAAUCCCGGGGCUCAACCCCGGAACUGCAUUGGAUACUGCCUUGCUUGAGUACUGGAGAGGGAACUGGAAUUUACGGUGUAGCAGUGAAAUGCGUAGAGAUCGUAAGGAAGGCCAGUGGCGAAGGCGAGUUCCUGGACAGUUACUGACGCUGAGGCACGAAGGCCAGGGGAGCAAACGGGAUUAGAUACCCCCGUAGUCC